CGCCCCCCGCGGAUCUGCAUAAUCGGGUUAGCGGCCGCGCUCCCUCCCGCUCCCGCCGCCGCCGCCGCCGCGCGCGAUUCUCUCGCUGUCACUUAGGGAGGCUCAGCGCGAUUUGCAGCCUAAUCCCCCGGGAUCGCUCGGCCGCCGCUCCCCGAGGGGCCGCCAGAUUGUUCCCUUCAUAAUUGAUUGACUCUAUUUGCCGGAUUGAGGACUUCAAAGCGCCGGCGGCGCGGGGGCGCCUGGGAAGGAGCGGGGCCCGCGGCGGGUCGGCCGGCCUGGCCCGGCGAGGCCCCUGCCCCGGCGGGCGCCGUCCUCCCCGCGGCCGGCCGGGCCGGGAGCCGGGAGGCGGGGCAGGAAAUCCGCCCUUGAGGACGAGGGUGGCGGCGGCGACGCCGACGAGGUUGAUCACGUCGUGACUGCCCUCGGCGGCCGGCGGUGAGGUCUGGGCCGGCUCGGUGCUCAGCGCUCCCCUAGUCCGGGCUUUAAACCCCCGCUCAUGACCUGAAAGCCUGCAGAGUGUGAACAGCCAUCCGCCUCCCCCAAAUGACAGGAAACGACCUGCUACCUGCUCAGAUGAAGCUCUCAGACCAGGUGCUUUCUCUCUCCUCCAUCAGCCCCGUCUAGACAGAAUCUGCCUCCUCUUUCAGGCCAGGAUCUCCAGACGGGGUCUCUCUUCACGCUCAGUCUGCUGUUCAGCCUAUACCACUGAAACCAAAAGGGCCAAGGAUUAAUCCCAGGGGAAGGACAGCUGCGCUUCUGGGCUGCAGGCAUCUAGGUCAGGAGCUCCUGUAUCCAGACCCGUCACUGAUCAACCUAAUCUUCUCUCCCUGAACUUGAGACUUAAAAAGGAAAGGGAAGGGUGAGACUUCUCAGAGAGAUGUGGGAGGGAUUGUGCGGGGGGCUUAUGGGGAGUGCUCUGGGGAACAAUACCCAUGAAAACGUGGGGGACAGGGCUGGGCAGAGGGAGGGGUCGCACUGUGGGGAAGUUGCCAGAGCAGCCUCAGCCAAUCCCACAGGAAGCUCUGGCACUGGAAUGUUCUUUCAGAGUCACCCCAGACGGAGGGGAAGAGGCCAGAGCUUUGUACUCCUGCGUCGACCAGUCACCCUGUGGACUGCCUCCAGGGAGAGGGCAUAACCCUGGGGGAGGCAGCCAAGGGCAAUACUCCAGGGAGGAACUUGACCAUGAGCCCUCAGAAGACAACACUCUGGCAGCUGCAGGAACAAGUGCCUCGGCCCUCAAGGAGGGUCCAGGCGGCACUGAAGCAUCCACUGUGGGCUCUGGGUAGCACAGAUGGAUGGGGCACCAGGAGUCUCCGUGGGGUGGCUCAGUUCAUGGACAUGCAGGUAGCUAUGAAAGUUGAUGAGCAUGGCCAGCCAGACAGUUCCAGUGAGCACAGCAGAGUAAGUUUGGGGGCCACAUGAAGGGCAGGCACAAUGCUGGGGACAAGGCAGAGAGAGUUAGGGGACACCAGUGGACCAAAAGUUAGGAGGAGAGGGUGGGGGCAAGGGGCAGUCUUCUGCCUUCUGCUCCAGCCUGGGUCCAGGCCAGGGCCUGGUGGGCCCAGCAGGUCUGAGCAGCCCGAGUGGUUGGGAGGAAGGCCCCCCUCAGCACUGCCAGCUCCUCAGUCGAUAAGCAGGAUUAGCCUCCUCUUCCUCAGGAGGAGGGGCUCGGCUCCUGCAUCAGCCACCAGCUCUGGCCCUAAUCCCCCUCGCUUUCUAAUCCACCCACGACUUUCUUAGGCAUUAACGUUGGGCUCUCAGCUCCCUAAGCACCACCCUGAAGAUGGGAGCCAGGCUCUGAAGGGAAUUAGGCCAGCCUCAGAGGACAGCUCUGCAGACAACUGGAGGGAGGCUGAGAAGCACCCCCACCCACCCCGCCUCUCCUCCUCUGCAGGCCACCCCACCCCAGACAGGGUCCUGGGUCUCAUGGGGUCUCUUCCAGCUAAAGCCAGGCAAGGAGGGGGUGCAGGGAGGGGGUGCAGAGAGGGGCUGAAGAAAGGGAUCCCCUCAGCUGUGUGUGAAGUCUAGGGGUGGUGCAGACGUGGAGAUGAGGGUAACCAUAGCCUGGCAAAGGCAGAGAGACAGGAGAGUUCAGGACACGCUGUGCCAUGUGAGAGCCCAGAAGGCCAAACUUAGGCCAGGUUGUGUAGGAUCUUGAGAUCCCCCUGCUGAGGAAUUUGGACUUCCCUUUGGGAAUAGAAAGGCUCCUUGGUGGGAAAGCGGUAGUAUUUAGAGCAGCGGCUUUGGUGCCUGUGAAGCACUCAGGGAGAGGGGCAGAGACUGGGGGUGAGCAGGUUCUUCUCACCCGAGGCAGGCAAUGAGACCCUAGAGGACACUCGCCCAAGGUCACCCAGCACCAUCUCCCAGUGCGGUGGGACAGCACAGCGCCCCCAGUGGUGGCAGGGGCGGUUGCAGCCCCAGCCUGCUCAGGGGCUCCCUGUGGAACUGUGAAGGAACACCCUGGGGUGCCCUGGAGAGGAGAGAUGGAGAAACAGCCCAUUAACUGUUGGCAGCUGUCCUACCAGGCCUCUUCGUUGUUCAUUAUUCCAAUUAUUCAAAACAGAGUGCAGCAACCAGGCCGCAGUCCAGGGACAGAAGAAGUGACCUUCACCUGCCCCAUGACAUCUCCCUCCAUCAACCCCACUCCUAGAUUCGUCAGAAUGACCACACACAGGCUACUUUCCUCUGAGUGGGGCCCCAGCCACCCUGGGCCUCCCAGUGGCCAGAGGCUGUCCCUGUGUCUGGCUCACCACCUCCAAGCAGUCUUCCUAAAGACACCCUGCUACUGCUCAGACCCCAGUCACCCAGUGAAUCUUGACCUUGGACAUUGAAGAAGCCCCGACCCUGGCUCCAGCUGAGCCCUGCCUCUGGCCCCUGGCUGAGUCUGCAGGAGCCUGAGCCUCCUACCAGACCACAGGGACUGAGCAAGUGAGAGGGGGCGGUGCAGCGAUGAGGCUGGAGAGCGUGGACCCCUCGGUGUAGUGUAUAUCCCCUGCUGGAGGGCAGUCAGGGCCCAGUCAGGCCCUUCAUGGGUGAAAUGCCUUUCUCUAUUGGAACGGCAGCUCUUCCACCGGGAUUCUAAAUCUGCCAGACGGACAGCAACCUGAGAUCAUCAGCCCACCUCAAUGUCCAUCUCAACAUCAGUCCCCGCACACCAAGGAUCUCCUGGAAAUGCUGUCUCCCCAAAACCACCUGAGUCUUCCUGGCUCUGCUCUCUUCCAAAGACCAGUCCUGGGAAAUCCAAAAGCUAUUGUGAAGACAGCAGGAGGGGAGGAGGGGGCCUCCCACUAGCCGUGAGAAGCCCAGAUCUACAGAAGCCUCCAAUUCUGAAGGGUGAGGCGCAGCUCCUUGGCAGCCCCCUCUCAACUGUGGGAACUCUGAAACUGCCAUCCACACAUGUCCUCACGGGGUCCUAGCAGAGUGGUACUACGCAGGGAACAUCCCAGUCUGUCUGCCUCCGAGUGUGUGAGCUGCUGGAGGGAGGAAUACCAGGUGUCUGGUUCCCCUCAAGCCCACCACUGGCAUGUAGAGGCCCACAGGAAUGUGAGUAGAAGGGAAGGACUGGCAUCAAGUCCCAGGGUUGGGACAGGGAGCAGAGCUAGGUGACCUGACCCCACCCCAGAGCCAGCACCACCCCCCUGCCCGGGGAGGAGACAACCCCCUCCACCCACACCGGCCCCCCCAAAGGCUCCCUGCAGGCCAGGACUUUUUUUGGAGGAGGCGGUAACAGAGGGCUGAGGUCUCUGGGCUGCGUCUCUCCCCCUGCUCUGCUCCAGCCUCCGUCUUCUGCUCGCUCUCUUUCUCUCUCAAGCUCUCAAUCUCUCCCGGUGUCUCUCUGCUGCUUUCUCUCCCUCCUUCCCUGCCUCUCUCUCCCUGAGUCAUUUGCAGAGCGGAGAUGGCCUAGUCCAUCUGGGAGCGAGAGCUCGGCUGCUGACGGAGGCACAGGUAAUAGCCGAGUGGAGGAGAGAGACGUGGAAAUUUAUGACAUUGAAAAUGACUGAGAGAGAGAGAGUGUGUGUGUGAGAGUGGGAGGAGAGCAUGGGGUGGGCACGAAGGGACAGAAAGGGAGUGCUCGCACUCUCUCAAACACACACACUCACAGGCUCACACUCCUGCCCUCCCCUCCCCUCCCCUCCCCUCCAACCUUGCAGAGAGGAGAGGACAUGGGGAGAGGGCUGCCAGUGCAGACAGAGGCAGGCAGGCAGACAGUGGGUAGGGGUAGGACAGAUUGGGCAAAGGGAAGGAGGGGGAAGAACAGCAGGGAGACCAGGAGACAGCGAGAUGGGGACUUCUGGGGCAGAGACAAGCAGUGUUUGCCCGUGGUGUCGCUUGUCCCUGUUGUGGUCCCCACUUUAGGAGCUCUUAUCUGAGGGCAGGGGUGUCCCCAUGGCAUAUGGCAGCAAGGAGUCUGGGGCCUGAGCUAGAGCUGGAGAUUAUUUAGGGCUGAGUCUCAGAAAAGGCCAGAAUCUGCUGCAGGCUGCACAGAAGGCCUCUGUCCUCUUAGCAUGGCUGUCUCCCCAACUCCCCAGCUGGGUGAGGGGGGAAAGAAAUGGAUGGACUAGCCCUGGAGACCACUCAGCUCCUCCCUCUGACCAUGGGAGGCAGGCCAGAAUGACAGGAGAAUCUGUUUCUUUGGGGGUGUUAAGCCCCUAAUCCCUUCUGCCCUAGCCACUCCUAGACCACUCCUACCCCCUAAAUGGCACUGCUGGAGACAGGAGUAAUUAGACAGCCUUCAGAAAACUAAGCCCCCACCCAACAGCCACCCAGACCCAGCAGGCUACACUCCAUUCCCAUCCUUGGCUUCUGCUACUCCUGGUUCUAAUGCUGCUGAGUCUCUUCCCAGCAGGAGACCUUAACCCUGGGUGCAGCUCUUUGCUCAGAUUCCUUUCUUCUCUGGGCUGAAGAUCCCUCAUCUGUAAAAUGCCUAUACCCAUCCCCCUUGGGCCAGAGAAGCAGUGCCAAGGCUCAGGGUAGACUAUAGUCUACCUAAGUCUAGAGACUCUUCUCCCUUGGAAAGUGUAGGUCAUCCUAGCUCUAAAGGUGCUCUCAGCAGUUCUGGCUGACUUUGUGGGUGAAGGUGGAGGAGACAGAACUCCUAGGCAUUCCCCCUGCACCCCCCUCACCCAACACACAGCUGUCUUCCAAAGAAGCCAAUGUAUCAGGUACUCCAAGGGCAGAAUCUUCCAUGCCUUGGUAUCGACAGAAGGCUGAGAUCACACAGCUGAGAAAGUCUAAGCCAAGCCCUGGUCUACCUGCCCAGGCCAUGCACCUGGCCCCUUGUCCUGCCAAAUGUGGGCAAGACAGGUGCAUUAGGGCUCUGAGAGACCUUGCCCACCAUCUCCAGCAGCUUGGAGCCCAACUCUGAACAGGUGUCCAGAUUUCCCCAAAGUGAAGAUCAUUUCCCAUUUCACAGCCCUGCCCCCAACUCCCUGCCAGCCUUACACUGAGGCCCCUUCCUCUCUCCUCUCUUCUUCCUUCCCUGCUCUGUAGCCCUCUCUGCUGGAAAACUUCCUUGGGUUAACCCCUCCUGGACCAGGGCAUCUGAAAUGCGGUAAUUGAAAGCAUAAGCUUUAGGGCCAGAAAGGCCCCACAUUACAGUUCUGCCCUUGGGUUGGAUGACCUUGGGCUCUUUAUUUAAUGUCUCUGAGCCUCAUUUCCUUAUCUGGCAAGACCAAGUGAAGUCGCUCAGUCAUGCCCGACUCUUUGCGACCCCAUGGA